GGGAGCUUAGCUCAGCUGGGAGAGCAUCUGCCUUACAAGCAGAGGGUCAGAGGUUCGAUCCCUCUAGCUCCCA
rnacentral:tRNA from 1 species